rnacentral:rRNA from 1 species
UACGAAGGGGGCUAGCGUUGUUCGGAAUUACUGGGCGUAAAGAGUUCGUAGGCGGACUUGUAAGUCAGAGGUGAAAUCCCAGAGCUUAACUCUGGAACUGCCUUUGAAACUAUAAGUCUGGAAUCUCAGAGGGGAUAGCGGAAUUCCAAAUGUAGGGGUGAAAUCCGUAGAUAUUUGGAGGAACACCGGUGGCGAAGGCGGCUAUCUGGAUGAGUAUUGACGCUGAGGAACGAAAGCGUGGGGAUCAAACAGG